rnacentral:lncRNA from 1 species
AAAAAAAAAACAGAUCAACCUUGAGGGAUCCCAUUCUGGGCAAUUCUCCCAAGUCAAGCAUUCUUAAGAAUUCUUAUUUUAAGAAUUAGAUUCAGCCAUAUUAUAUUCCAUAUUAUUAACUUUUCUUUCUAUCAUUUGUUUAUUAGUGCAUAGCAUUCAACUAUAUGCCAAACACAAGGCUAACAGAAGUAAAAGUAUAACAAGUACAGUCAGCAAAAAAGACCUCACUGCUUGCAAGGUUAGUCCAAGAGCCAUUGCCACAAAUCUUCCCUUUCUUCCUUUUGGGGCACUCAUGCCAAAAAGGCUCAAGAGAAAAGAGGUUUUCAGUAUUUCGUGUGUGUGUGUGGGGGGGGUGUGUUUCUUCUUCCUUUGGUCAAGGAAUGGAAAUUUAUGAGAGAGAGACUACUAAAUGAGACCGUAACUGUGGCAAGUGCUGAGUGUGCUCAUGGGCGGCAGGAAGGGGUCUGAGGAGCAGCAGAAGGGUGGGUGGUUGAAAUGAGAGAGGAGGCUGGGAGAGUUCCAGAGUUCUCCAAGGUUAAGAACCCUCUCCAUGGUUGAGGAAAAGGAGCAAAAUUGUAGGGGAAAGAACAUUUUGAGAGAAAAGGAAUAGCUGGAAAAUUUUACCUGAUAAACUGUGUCACCCUUGGAAUAACGACACGGUCAUCAGAAAUGAAGGAGAAGGCUGUGGAGAGAUGGCAAGGAACAGCUGAAACUGAAAGGCUGAGUGUUGAUGAAAGAGUUUUAAAAGACAACCAGGAAGGAUACCAAAGGCCUUGCAGUGGUUAGCAGGACACUAGGACUUAGUAAUAAUGAGCCAGAGGCAGGAGGGGACACAUAUUCCAUACUUAAGGUAAAGAUUAUAAAACUACCGAUACAGAGUCCAUACAAAAGUAAAUAUUCAGAAUGAACAGGGAAAUUACAACAAAUAACAAUAAUUUAUGUUUGGUAUUUGACAAAAACAUAUGACCAAGGGAACUGAUUGCCCGCACUCCUCUUAAGGCUUGGAAAGAAACUUUACAAGAGAAAGGCUUAAGGCUUCAAGCUUCAUUAGCCUCAUGGCCAUAAGGCUAUAAAUGCCACUAAAGUAAAUACAGCACAGCAUUGCAUUUCAAAUAGUAUCUCAAAGGAGAUAUGUGGAAGAUGAUGGAUGCCUGUACCAUACUGACUUCAAAAUGUUCAGAAUGUACUCAGAACAGCUCUAACUUCUUAUAACUUAUAAUGUUUUAUAAAAUUUAAGUAAGACCAUG